rnacentral:rRNA from 1 species
AAAUUGAAGAGUUUGAUCAUGGCUCAGAUUGAACGCUGGCGGCAGGCCUAACACAUGCAAGUCGAACGGUAACAGGAAGCAGCUUGCUGCUUUGCUGACGAGUGGCGGACGGGUGAGUAAUGUCUGGGAAACUGCCUGAUGGAGGGGGAUAACUACUGGAAACGGUGGCUAAUACCGCAUAAUGUCGCAAGACCAAAGAGGGGGACCUUCGGGCCUCUUGCCAUCAGAUGUGCCCAGAUGGGAUUAGCUUGUUGGUGAGGUAACGGCUCACCAAGGCGACGAUCCCUAGCUGGUCUGAGAGGAUGACCAGCCACACUGGAACUGAGACACGGUCCAGACUCCUACGGGAGGCAGCAGUGGGGAAUAUUGCACAAUGGGCGCAAGCCUGAUGCAGCCAUGCCGCGUGUAUGAAGAAGGCCUUCGGGUUGUAAACGUGUAUGAAGAAGGCCUUCGGGUUGUAAA